GACGAACGCUGGCGGCGUGCUUAACACAUGCAAGUCGAACGGAAAGGCCCAGCUUGCUGGGUACUCGAGUGGCGAACGGGUGAGUAACACGUGGGUGAUCUGCCCUGGACUCUGGGAUAAGCCUGGGAAACUGGGUCUAAUACCGGAUAUGACCUUACAUCGCAUGGUGUUUGGUGGAAAGCUUUUGCGGUUCAGGAUGGGCCCGCGGCCUAUCAGCUUGUUGGUGGGGUAAUGGCCUACCAAGGCGACGACGGGUAGCCGACCUGAGAGGGUGAUCGGCCACACUGGGACUGAGACACGGCCCAGACUCCUACGGGAGGCAGCAGUGGGGAAUAUUGCACAAUGGGCGCAAGCCUGAUGCAGCGACGCCGCGUGAGGGAUGACGGCCUUCGGGUUGUAAACCUCUUUCACCAGGGACGAAGCGUGAGUGACGGUACCUGGAGAAGAAGCACCGGCCAACUACGU
rnacentral:rRNA from 1 species